rnacentral:rRNA from 1 species
CCUACGGGUGGCUGCAGUGGGGAAUAUUGGACAAUGGGCGCAAGCCUGAUCCAGCCACGCCGCGUGAGUGAUGAAGGCCUUCGGGUCGUAAAGCUCUGUGGGGAGGGACGAACCGCUGGGCGUGCAUAGCGUCCAGCAUGACGGUACCUCCUUAGCAAGCACCGGCUAACUUCGUGCCAGCAGCCGCGGUAAUACGAAGGGUGCAAACGUUGCUCGGAAUUAUUGGGCGUAAAGCGCACGUAGGCGGCUUAGCAAGUCGGAAGUGAAAUCCCUCG